UUUUUAAUUUGUUAUGGGUCUACAACACUUAAUUUCAACGAAAUUAAAUUAAAAAGUUACGUCAUAGAAGACAAGAAAAAUAUCAACAUCUGUUUUUGAUAACUUGUCUUUCAUAGCAAAUCUGAGAGGUGCAAAUGCUUAGUUUGCUUUAAGUACUACAUAAUAUAAUACAUCGUUGUACAUUUAUUUUGAUAAUAAUAAAUUUCUUUAGCAUACUCAUUUUUUAUAUUUUUAGACUGUUUACUGUUGGACUUCUGUACCAAUUUAACUUAGUGGGGACAAAAAGAAAUGACCGCGUCGGAAAUAAGAGGGGGUUGAAAGGAUCAGCCGUUUUUGAAUUAAUAGUCGGAGUCGCAGCCAGCUCGUAUAAAAAGACUUUUCUACGAGAAAUAGUUAAUUUUAUUUAGAGAAAGCUGAAGAACACCCCUGAUCAAAUCGGGGGGUUGCGUAGGCAACAACGCCAAGAACAGAGGAGAAGCUCAAGAAACAGAGGAAAAAGAUGAAGGUGAAAAUAAUGUGGAAUUUGGAGAUGAAUCUGCUGAUGACUCUUAAUUUAUUUAACUUAAUUUGACUUAAUUCUUAACUCUUAAUUUAGUUAAUAUAUUCUGCUGAACAAUA